rnacentral:rRNA from 1 species
UACGAAGGGGGGCUAGCGUUGUUCGGAUUUACUGGGCGUAAAGCGCACGUAGGCGGAUCGUUAAGUCGGGGGUGAAAUCCUGGAGCUCAACUCCAGAACUGCCUUCGAUACUGGCGAUCUUGAGUCCGGAAGAGGUGAGUGGAACUCCUAGUGUAGAGGUGGAAUUCGUAGAUAUUAGGAAGAACACCAGUGCGAAGGCGGCUCACUGGUCCGGUACUGACGCUGAGGUGCGAAAGCGUGGGGGAGCAAACAGG